UGGGGAAUAUUGCACAAUGGGGGAAACCCUGAUGCAGCGACGCCGCGUGAGUGAAGAAGUACUUCGGUAUGUAAAGCUCUAUCAGCAGGGAAGAAAAUGACGGUACCUGAGUAAGAAGCCCCGGCUAACUACGUGCCAGCAGCCGCGGUAAUACGUAGGGGGCAAGCGUUAUCCGGAUUUACUGGGUGUAAAGGGAGCGCAGACGGUUGCGCAAGUCUGAAGUGAAAUCCCGAGGCUUAACCACGGGACUGCUUUGGAAACUGUGCGACUUGAGUAUCGGAGGGGCNGGNGGGAAUUCCUUGGGGGGGGGGAAGGGGGGGAAUUUUAAAAAAAAAAAGGGGGGAGGGGGGGGGGGGGGGGACUGUUGGACGAAAACUGACGUUGAGGCUCGAAGGCGUGGGGAGCNAACAGGAUUAGAUACCCUGGUAGUCCACGCGGUAAACGAUGAAUACUAGGUGUUGGUGCCCCAAGGGCAUCGGUGCCGUCGCAAACGCAAUAAGUAUUCCACCUGGGGAGUACGUUCGCAAGAAUG
rnacentral:rRNA from 1 species